UCAUAGGAGUACAUCCAUCGUGUCGGUCGAACAGCACGAGUAGAGGGUGGAGUCGGUCACGCUCUGUUGAUUUUACGCCCUGAGGAGUUGGGAUUUCUCCGAUAUCUGAAGCAUGCCAAAGUCCCGCUGAAUGAGUUUGAUUUCUCCUGGAGUAAAAUUUCCAACAUACAGGCUCAGUUAGAGAAACUGAUAGAGAAGAAUUACUUCCUCCACAAGUCAGCACAGGAAGCUUACAAGUCUUAUAUCCGGGCCUUCGCCUCCCACAGUCUUAAAAAUAUCUACGAUGUCAACACCUUGGAUCUCCAGAAGGUGGCACUGUCGUUCGGCUUCCAUAACCCGCCCUACGUAGACUUGGAUGUUCAUGGAAAGAAGGGAGGUACAAGUAUGAGCAACAGGAACAAACCUGGUGGAUUUGGUUACCAUAGAGACAAGUUACAAAACAAAGCCAAAAUAUAUAAACCAUUGAAAAGCAAAGGGCACGGCAAACGGCAGUUUAGUCGGUGACCCGUGCAAGUAUGACAGUGACCUAUGAACUUCAGCAGAUUGUCAAUGAGGUGUGACGAAUGAGGGCAUUGUGGGAUUGCUCUGACAGCAGUUGUUUUAAUCAGAAGGAAACAAUGUUUGUUCACUUGAAAUUCAUGUUUUAAUUCAAGUGAAAAAGGAGGUGUGUUUCUGCAGCCAUGCUAUAUAUGUAAAUUAACAUUAAAAUUUAUGUGCAGGAACUUAAACAUCUUUAAAAGUGCAUUGUGCAAAUUAACAUGUUCGUAAUCAAGUUUUGUCAACGUAAGAAUUUCCUUUCUAGGACUACUAUACUUGUCUUAUUUUAGCGGAAUUUAAACUUUAGCGGCUUUGAGGAUGAAGGAAGAGAUUUGAUUUAUGUCUGUGCUAGAAUAAAAAACAAUCUCUGUAUAUCCAUUCUUAUACAUAUUGGAAGCUCUAAAUCAUGUUGACGCCAAUUACAUGUACAUGUACUACAUUAAUGUCGACUGUGUUAAAUUUUAAGUUCGCCAAAUUAAUUAGCAAAAAAUAAAUGAAUUACAGAAAAAAAAAUUAAUUAGACAUACAGUAUUUCUCUGUUGUGCUUGUGCUGAGACAGUAUGUAGUAUAUUUUUGUGUACUGAUUACAUAGUUAAGUUAAAGACUAUGAAUUGUUACCACUGGCAUACUACGAGUGGGUAUUUUUUUCUCUCUACAGAAUUCGCAGGACUCAUGAAAUCAGUUUGUACAUGGUCAAAUAGAUUUAUUUUAAUGUCGCAAAUCUUUGUUCAUCUGAUAUGUUAAAUGUGUUGUUUUGUAACAAUAGAUUAUAUUAUACAUUAGGAAACAGUUUCAUCAAUAAAUUAUGUAAACCUUUC